GCCCAGGGGCGGGAAUCGAACCCACGACCUUCCGCUUACCGGGCAGAUGCCAUGUCCACUAGGCUACCCUGGA